rnacentral:rRNA from 1 species
AGAGUUUGAUCAUGGCUCAGAACGAACGCUGGCGGCAUGCCUAACACAUGCAAGUCGAACGAAGCCUUCGGGUUUAGUGGCGCACGGGUGCGUAACACGUGGGAAUCUGCCCUUCGGUUCGGAAUAACAGUUAGAAAUGACUGCUAAUACCGGAUGAUGACGUAAGUCCAAAGAUUUAUCGCCGAAGGAUGAGCCCGCGUAGGAUUAGGUAGUUGGUAGGGUAAUGGCCUACCAAGCCGACGAUCCUUAGCUGGUCUGAGAGGAUGAUCAGCCACACUGGGACUGAGACACGGCCCAGACUCCUACGGGAGGCAGCAGUGGGGAAUAUUGGACAAUGGGCGAAAGCCUGAUCCAGCAAUGCCGCGUGAGUGAUGAAGGCCUUAGGGUUAUAAAGCUCUUUACCAGGGAUGAUAAUGACAGUACCUGGAGAAUAAGCUCCGGCUAACUCCGUG